CCGAAGACAGAUGCGGGGAUGGCCGACGUCAAAGUAACGUUUGCAUUUGUCACUCCCAGGUCCAUCAACUGCUGUGCGGCCGCGCAGUGUAAUGACGAGUCGACAGUUGACGUGUCGGAGACCCUUUCAGGGGCGCCGCAGCAUGAUUUACGCGCUGCUAUAAUCAAGGUUCUGGACUACGAUACUGGGCAUUCUCGUGUUUUCUGCAUGACGUACCCCCACGGCACUAGAAUGCGGUCUGUUUGCAAGUCACUUGCAGAUGCCAUGGCAGCAAGUGCGGGUGAGAUGGUUUGCUUUACUCCUCCUCCCAUGCCUGCCGAUCGUGUUUUGCGUCUGUGUGCCAUGAGAGUUUUAGAGCCAGGUGACAACGUUCCGGAUGUGCUCUUCUGCCAGAAAGCUGCAGCGCCUCGUCAAUGUGCAGUGGCUUUAUCGAGCUGGAUGCUUGUGAAUGUUCUUCUUUGCGGAAACGAUGGCGUCCUUUCGGUGGGCCACCUGCCCUGCGUGGUGCAGGUGCCUGGUGCCUCCAUCACAAAGGACGGUAUCUGUAGCAGCUUGUGUGCCUUGCUCAGAAUGGGUUUGGAAUGCGAGCGGUACCUGCGAAGCUGUGCGCUGUUCUGCUGCACGGUGGAGAGAAAGAGCAUCGUCUUGCGUGACCCGUUUCACGACGGCGGGUGCCCAAGCCAGGUUGCCAUUAUCUACGGUGCGGUCGAUGUUGGGGACGUCGUGCUUGUGUCCGCGGCGUUGCCUUGCGCAGCCGUCGAAGCGAGGCCAUCGGUUUUGCAGGCCGUUGUGGUGAGGCGGUUUGCAGAGGAUGGAGUGACGCUGUUUGAUGUGAAGGAGGUGGACACUGCCGUCGUCUUGGAGGGACUUACGUGCACACAGCUGGUGCCUCUCUAGCCGCUCUGACUGUCCCUGAGAAGAGUGAACGAAAAAUAAUAUAGACACUUCUGCUGACGCUUUUGUUGUUCUGUUAGUCUCUCUCUUUCUCGUCUCGGCCGCGGACUCGACUCCUUGUUUCUCAAAGGCGCUUCUCGAUGGACAUUCCGAGUGGUUGCCCUGCGGGAGUGAGCAGCGAGAACGGUGUCUGCACGCCCUCUUUUCAUGCUUCUCUGCUCAUCCACAGGUGCUUUUCUGCACCGUUCCCUCUGUUCCUGCUCCUUUGUUUCUUUCGUCUCUGCCUGAUUGUGUGGGCACUACGGACACCGUUGUUUGAAG
rnacentral:misc_RNA from 1 species